CCNGUGGCGAAAGCGGCUCUCUGGUCUGUCACUGACGCUGAGGCUCGAAAGCGUGGGUAGCGAACAGGAUUAGAUACCCUGGUAGUNCACGCCGUAAACGAUGAGUGCUAGGUGUUAGGCCCUUUCCGGGGCUUAGUGCCGGAGCUAACGCAAUAAGCACUCCGCCUGGGGAGUACGACCGCAAGGUUGAAACUCAAAGGAAUUGACGGGGGCCCGCACAAGCGGUGGAGCAUGUGGUUUAAUUCGAAGCAACGCGAAGAACCUUACCAGGUCUUGACAUCCCGAUGCUAUUCUUAGAGAUAGGAAGUUACUUCGGUACAUCGGAGACAGGUGGUGCAUGGUUGUCGUCAGCUCGUGUCGUGAGAUGUUGGGUUAAGUCCCGCAACGAGCGCAACCCUUAUUGUUAGUUGCCAUCAUUAAGUUGGGCACUCUAGCGAGACUGCCGGUAAUAAACCGGAGGAAGGUGGGGAUGACGUCAAAUCAUCAUGCCCCUUAUGACCUGGGCUACACACGUGCUACAAUGGUCGGUACAACGAGUUGCGAGCCGGUGACGGCAAGCUAAUCUCUGAAAGCCGAUCUCAGUUCGGAUUGGAGGCUGCAACUCGCCUCCAUGAAGUCGGAAUCGCUAGUAAUCGCGGAUCAGCACGCCGCGGU
rnacentral:rRNA from 1 species